rnacentral:lncRNA from 1 species
GGGGCAUGCUCAUGGGUUAAAUUCACUUGUUUGUUUUUCCUUUUUUGGGGGGCCGCAUUCGAGAGACUUGGAAGGUCCCUGGGCCAGGGAUUGAAUCAGCCACAGCUGAGGUAACACGGGACCCUUAACCCACUGCAGCACAGCGGGAACUCCCUGCUGCACGUCUCUGAGCCACACUGUCUUCCUUGAGGAGGCGCUGCUGAGGGUGACGGAGACCCCCCUACUGGAGGUGCCACUGAGGUGUGGCAGGGAGGGGGCAUCCAUCCGUCUGUCCCCAGGCCUCGGACCCUGGUGCCUGAGAGACACGGAUGCUGCAAGACUCCAUCUCCAGCACCACCACUGCUGCGCUCAGACCCUGGGGCUCUGUCAGGAGUCUGCCCUGCACGGCUUUUAUCAAAACAUCCAAAACUAGGCCAGAGACAAGGCCAGGGAACCUGCAGCCCUCGGGCCACUCCAGGCCGCCUACCAGGUUCCGGCAGAGCUGCCGGGCGGGAAGUGGACCCCGCGGGCACUUUCGAGCCUCUGCACCCCAGCGUCCCUUCUGCUGCCGAAAGAGUUCUCCACAGAGCGCUGCUGGAGUCCGGGAGCCUGGAGUCCGUGAACCUGGACGAGAAAACAGUCACAUCCAUAUCGGCACCAACUAAAUUCAGCAUCGCCCUGCCUUGUGAAUGUGAGCAGCAAAACCCAGUGAGGUCUGUGGUUUUGCCACCAAUGUUAUCAACCACAAACCCCACUGGGUUUCCGAGCGUCCUACCUUUAUUGCAGAAAUUUCAGGACGGCAUUUGGACUCAAAUCACGGUAGUUCUUAAAUCCGCUACUAGAUAUUCUUUUAAAUGUGCUAGGAAGAAGUAGGAGUUCCCCGGUGGCCUAGCUGGUUAGGAAUCCUGCAUUAUCACUGCUGUAGCUGGGUUAGAUUCCUGGCCUGGGAGUGUCUGCAGGCUGCUGGCCAAAAAAAAAAAAGAAGAAGAAGGAGAAAAGGAAGAGGAAGAGGAAGAAAAGAAGAAGAGGCAUGUAUAUUAAACAAUAGUUUGACAAAUUUCAGUGCAUUUGGCUUCCUUUAUAAUCCUACGUAUUUUGCUAUUUUGCAUUGUGCAUUUAAAAACAUGAUCCUGGAGUUCCCGUCGUGGCGCAGUGGUUGACGGGUCCGACUAGGAACCAUGAGGUUGCGGGUUCGGUCCCUGCCCUUGCUCAGUGGGUUGGCGAUCCGGCGUUGCCGUGAGCUGUGGUGUAGGUUGCAGACUCGGCUCAGAUCCCGCGUUGCUGUGGCUCUGGCGUAGGCCGGUGGCUACAGCUCCGAUUCGACCCCUGGCCUGGGAACCUCCAUGUGCCGCGGGAGCAGCCCAGGAGAUAGCAACAACAACAUGAUCCUG